AAAAUGCAACAGGUGGCGAGUCGGGAGCUCAAGAUCCCGUCCUCUAAGAUCUACAUCAGUGAAACCAGCACCAACACUGUUCCCAACACCUGCCCGUCUGCCGCCUCCUUCGGAACUGACGCCAACGGCAUGGCGGUCAAGAACGCCUGCGAAACUCUGUACCAGCGACUGGAGCCAAUCAGACAGAAAAACCCCAAAGG